rnacentral:rRNA from 1 species
UGGGGAAUAUUGGACAAUGGGGCAACCCUGAUCCAGCAAUGCCGCGUGUGUGAAGAAGGUUUUCGGAUUGUAAAGCACUUUCGACGGGGACGAUGAUGACGGUACCCGUAGAAGAAGCCCCGGCUAACUUCGUGCCAGCAGCCGCGGUAAUACGAAGGGGCGUAGCGUUGCUCGGAAUGACUGGGCGUAAAGGGCGUGUAGGCGGUUUGUACAGUCAGAUGUGAAAUCCCCGGCGUUAAUCCACUGGGAGCUGCAUUUGAUACGUGCAGACUAGAGUGUGAGAGAGGGUUGUGGAAUUCCCAGUGUAGAGGUGAAAUUCGUAGAUAUUGGGAAGAACACCGGUGGCGAAGGCGGCAACCUUGGCUUCAUAACUGACGCUGAGGCGCGAAAGCGUGGGGAGCAAAACA